UGAGGGAAAGUUGCAAAGAACUUUGAAGAGAGAGUUCAAGAGUACGUGAAACUGCUCAGAGGCAAACGGGUGGGCCCUCGAAAUCCUCUCGCGGGGGGAUUCAGUCGGGCAGCGAGCAGGGGGCGGAGGCCGCCGGCGGACCCCGAGAAGGGACGCCGCGGCCGACGCGGACUCCUGCCUUCCCGACGCACUUCCUCCCGCGCUGCGGACGCCGCAGCCGGUCGGGUAGCUGCGAGAGUCGGCCGUGAGGGCGGGCGCCGGCAGGUGGCGGGAGAGCCUUUCCUCGGAUCGGCUUCCCCGUCGUUAGCCAGCCCGCACCGUGGCGCGACACCCGACCGUGGUCCGGAGGUUCCCGCUUGCGGGAACCCGUACCGUCCCCUUCCCCAGCGCGCGAUCCGGCAGUCGGUCUCCGCGAACGUCGCCGAGUCACUCCCCGCAGUGGCCGGCGCGCGGAGGCGCUCGUUGGCCGGGAUCGUCGCGCGGCCCGGGACAGGAGGCUGGCGGCGAGUAGGUCGGUCACCCACCCGGCCCGUCUUGAAACACGGACCAAGGAGUCUAACAUGUGCGCGAGUCGCGGGGUCUUGAACAGGCCCCCGGGCGCAAUGAAAGUGAAGGCGGCCUCCCGGUCGCCGUGUCGGGACCCCGGCCCCCCAGGGGGCAGGGAGCACCGACGACCCGUCCCACCGGGCAUCGCCCGCGGGGCGGAGUCCGAGCGCACACGUUGGGACCCGAAAGAUGGUGAACUAUGCCUGGGCAGGACGAAGCCAGAGGAAACUCUGGUGGAGGUCCGCAGCGGUUCUGACGUGCAAAUCGAUCGUCAGACCCGGG
rnacentral:rRNA from 1 species